UAGGAAAUUGGACCAAUGG
rnacentral:piRNA from 1 species